GCCACAACAGAGCUCAGUCAGUACAGAAUGAGAGUCUCAAUCUCAGGGUUGUGGGUUUGAGCCCCACGUUGGGUG